rnacentral:rRNA from 1 species
GACGAACGCUGGCGGCGUGCCUAAUACAUGCAAGUCGAACGCAUUUUCUUUCACCGUAGCUUGCUACACCGAAAGAAAAUGAGUGGCGAACGGGUGAGUAACACGUGGGUAACCUGCCCAUCAGCGGGGGAUAACACUUGGAAACAGGUGCUAAUACCGCAUAAUUCCAUUUACUGCAUGGUAGAUGGAUGAAAGGCGCUUUUGCGUCACUGAUGGAUGGACCCGCGGUGCAUUAGCUAGUUGGUGGGGUAACGGCCUACCAAGGCUGCGAUGCAUAGCCGACCUGAGAGGGUGAUCGGCCACACUGGGACUGAGACACGGCCCAGACUCCUACGGGAGGCAGCAGUAGGGAAUCUUCGGCAAUGGACGCAAGUCUGACCGAGCAACGCCGCGUGAGUGAAGAAGGUUUUCGGAUCGUAAAACUCUGUUGUUAGAAAAGAACAAGGAUGAGAGUGGAAAGUUCAUCCCUUGACGGUAUCUAACCAGAAAGCCACGGCUAACUACGUA